rnacentral:rRNA from 1 species
ACGAGUUUGAUCCUGGCUCAGAUUGAACGCUGGCGGCAGGCCUAACACAUGCAAGUCGAGGGGUAUGGUUUCGGACCAAGAGACCGGCGCACGGGUGCGUAACGCGUAUGCAAUCUACCUUUGCAGAGGGAUAGCCCAGAGAAAUUUGGAUUAAUACCUCAUAGUAUAGUACUUUGGCAUCAAGGAACUAUUAAAGUCACAACGGCAAAAGAUGAGCAUGCGUCCCAUUAGCUUGUUGGUAAGGUAACGGCUUACCAAGGCAACGAUGGGUAGGGGUCCUGAGAGGGAGAUCCCCCACACUGGUACUGAGACACGGACCAGACUCCUACGGGAGGCAGCAGUGAGGAAUUUUGGACAAUGGGCGCAAGCCUGAUCCAGCAAUGCCGCGUGCAGGAUGAAGGCCUUCGGGUUGUAAACUGCUUUUGUACGGAACGAAACGGUGAGCUCUAAUACAGUUUGCUAAUGACGGUACCGUAAGAAUAAGCACCGGCUAACUACGUG